GGGAGAUGGGGAUGCAUGUAUUGAAAUUCUGCCACAUGGUAGAUGGGGCUGUCUUUGAAGAUGAACAUAUUUGAGGUCAAUCUCACUGCCCCUCCUCCAAUCUCACCCUCCAGCGUUUUGAUCCAAGUGCCCACAGUUCUGAUGAAUGUCAAAGGCAAGCUUGAGGAGGGAAGAGGAAAUGAUUAGUCCUUUACACUCCAGGUCAAUUUACUAAGGAUGAAUUCUCCAAAUGAUCAGCCGGAUUUUCAAGAUGGUGUCAGAAGCGGUAUCCGAAGUGGAGCUUCUAGCGACCACUAGGAGGGCUGAGUGAACACGCAAGCUACCUGCAGGACCCACUUGUCUCAGAUUUUGGAGCUCCGUGGAUUUGUGUUUUGAGCUCUCCGAGUUUCUUUGAACAAAUUUCUGAUCCAAACUGGGUUUGGAGUCGCAACAGAAACUGGACUGGGUCCAGGAAUGGAUUUGAUCCAGAAAUUAACUGGCUUGGAUCAAGUUAGAGGCCUCUUACGUCUGACUGGGUGAGAAAGGAACAGGUGGAUUUUGAACAUUCACAGGGAUUUUUGCAUUAUAUCCCUUUGUUUCAUUUUUCUUGCACGCUUAGGUAGGGGAAAAAAAUCAUUGGCUAAGUUAAUCAAGAGAACCUGAGCAUAAAGCCAAUAUUUGAGGUAAAAAUGGGAUCCUUAAUUUCUGGAAAACCGAGUUCCUUCUGGCUUAUACUUUAGGCCUGGGAGGCAGUGAAGUCUUACAGAAACAGCAAAAUCUUACUAAAGAUACCUUACAGUGGAACAUUCCCAAAGAACAACAAUGCAUUGAAGUACAUUUAAAAAAUGAGGGCUCUUGGUAAAGUCCCUUUUAGCUGAGAAAGGGUUUGGCACUCCAGCAUGUCAAUUGCUGUUCUCUUUGGCAUAAUCUGCCUUGCACUCUUUGCUGAUGGCUGUGGGUGACAGGAUUAGGCAUGUACAGGAUCGUGGGACAUGGGAAGCUUUUUCUUCCCUAAAAGGGGAAACUUUAGAGAUGAUGGGACCGUUGGAAAAGAUCCAUUUGGUACCAAGAAGCAGCGGCCUGAACUUUUCAGUGUCGCUGCAAUAGGUGGGUCUUUCUGUGGCCUCCCUGAUCAUUUCACCUUCCCCACCUUGCCACAGGCAAUGCUUUUCUCUCUCUCCUUUCCCUUUCUUAUGUUUUCUAUUACUCAGGGAGACCACCUUGCCCAGAGACCACAGGUUGAAACUCCUGGUCGGAGGUUGGAUUAACAAUGAUGGGGCCCAACCAGGGGCAAAUUUGAGCCUUGCUGGUUUGACAUUGGGUGCCAACCACAGUGGCUAAUGUCUAUGUUUUUGUCACACAUAUUUUACUCUGGCCAGGACAAAAAAAAGAUAAUUUUCCUUUAUGAUGUGGCUUUGCCCCAGUGCGAUGGUGUGGCAAGCUGAGUCACUAGGGGCGCUCAUGGAAAGCGUACCCAGAAGCCUGGCAUCCCGGCAAAAAGUUAAGAAUUUCUUACCAGUUAGAUUUCAGGCUUCUCUCUCUCUCUGUGCAAAUGGUUGAAUGAACGGUAAAAAUUGCUGUUUAUCUCCAUUUUGUUUUACGUCCUUGGGAGCUUGACCUUGUAACCAUGUGGCGGUACUUUCUCUUGGUUUCCGCCUUCCAGGGAACAGGAAUUUUAGGGCUUAUGUCAUAGUUAGCUCUAAAAAUUAUCUCGAGUAGCUAAAAGCCUUUGCAAGCUCAAAAUUAACUACUCUAGAUUCCUCCUGGGAGAGGUCAUAAAAGAUUGCCCCAUGUUGGAGCUCAGUAGCUAAGGCUUUGCUCUUUCAUACUGGUGGUCUGGGUUCAAUUCCCUGCCUAUGAAGUAAGUUGCGUUUAGUUUAAUAUUUGUAUGACCUUGUCUAGUCUCUUCUCCAUGUACUAUCUAAUUUUCCUUUCUCUGAGCACCUGGGAGGUUACCUUUGGUAGAGUUCAAAAGCCAGAAAUACCAGCCGUUUGGCCUGGCUAAAAUUGGGUAAUAAAAAAUUUUAAAAGGACUUUAUUAAAGAGUGCUAUGGUUAAAAGUCAGCUUAAUUAAAAGUGGAUAUUGAAGCUCUAACUGCCUGGACUUCUUGGGAAAAACAGAAGGCACCAGAAAUCCCUUUCUGGCCCUCUUCUUCCAAGGGCUCCACCCAAAAGCCAAUAACCAGUUAAGAAACAUAAAAACUGGCAAAAUAAAAAAUCUUACAACUACUGUGGUAAUCUUCUUCUGUCUGUCUGUAUAAUUAUAUAUGUGUUGUGUGUAAUGUUUAUAUAAAAGAGCUCUGAUUAAUUGGCUUAAA
rnacentral:lncRNA from 10 species